UGUAGAUGUAAAAAAUUAAAUCAGAUUAGUAUUAGUUAUAUUCUUGAAAAUUAAAAAAUUUGGCGGUAUUUUAGUCUUUUUAGAGGAACCUGUUGUUUAAUUGAUAUUCCACGAUUUAUAUUACUUUAAUUUUUAAUUUAUAUAUCGUCGUAAUUUAAUAUUUUAACAGAAUUAAUAUUAUUAAUUUUUAAUUAAAAAUAAAAUCAGAUCAUGAUGUAGUUUAUAUUAAAGAAUUAAUGGGUUACAAUAAAAUUUAUUUAAAUGGAUAUUAUAAUGAAAUUUAUAAUUAAAAGUGGAUUUAAUAGUAAAUUUAUUUAAUUUAAUAAAUUGAUUUUAGCUCUAAAGUAUGU
rnacentral:rRNA from 1 species